GAUGAAGAACGUAGCGAAAUGCGAUAAGUAAUGUGAAUUGCAGAAUUCAGUGAAUCAUCGAAUCUUUGAACGCACAUUGCGCCCCCUGGUAUUCCGGGGGGCAUGCCUGUCCGAGCGUCAUUGCUGCCCUCAAGCACGGCUUGUGUGUUGGGCUCCGUCCCCCCGGGGACGGGUCCGAAAGGCAGCGGCGGCACCGAGUCCGGUCCUCGAGCGUAUGGGGCUUUGUCACCCGCUCUGUAGGCCCGGCCGGCGCCAGCCGACAACCAAUCAUCCUUUUUUCAGGUUGACCUCGGAUCAGGUAGGGAUACCCGCUGAACUUAAGCAUAUCAAUAAGCGGAGGA
rnacentral:misc_RNA from 1 species